rnacentral:sRNA from 1 species
GAAAAAUAACAGCGCGGCAUUUGCCCGACAUCACAAAGUUGGCCCACUCCAUGAGCUUGAUGGAUUUCUACGUUGUAUCACACGACUGAUUCCAAACGACGGGAAGCUACCGGAACUUCCAGUAGCUUGCUGUGCUGGCUAUCUGAUCUCGAUCAUAUCAAAUUUCCGGUUCCCCGUGGCCAUUGUUGAUUACGCAUGGAGUGGCAAAGUGCACGAUGAAAUAUAGUUCAAACCCCAAUUACAACUACCCUGUUGGAAACAAGUUUGGUUCAACCUUCCACAACAUAUGGGCGCCAGAAGCCCUGCAGGAAAACAACAA